rnacentral:rRNA from 1 species
UACGAAGGGUGCAAGCGUUACUCGGAAUUACUGGGCGUAAAGCGUGCGUAGGUGGUUUGUUAAGUCUGAUGUGAAAGCCCUGGGCUCAACCUGGGAAUUGCAUUGGAUACUGGCAGGCUAGAGUGCGGUAGAGGGUAGUGGAAUUCCCGGUGUAGCAGUGAAAUGCGUAGAGAUCGGGAGGAACAUCUGUGGCGAAGGCGACUACCUGGACCAGCACUGACACUGAGGCACGAAAGCGUGGGUAGCAAACAGG